CUACGGGUUGCUGCAGUGAGGAAUAUUGCACAAUGGGGGGAACCCUGAUGCAGCAACGCCGCGUGGAGGAUGACGCAUUUCGGUGUGUAAACUCCUUUUAUAUGUCAAGAAAAUGACGGUAGCAUAUGAAUAAGCACCGGCUAACUCCGUGCCAGCAGCCGCGGUAAUACGGAGGGUGCAAGCGUUACUCGGAAUCACUGGGCGUAAAGGACGCGUAGGCGGGUUGGAAGGUCAGGUGUGAAAUCCUACCGCUUAACUGUAGAACUGCACUUGAAACUUCUAAUCUAGAGUAUGGGAGGGGGAGAUGGAAUUAGUGGUGUAGGGGUAAAAUCCGUAGAUAUCACUAGGAAUACCUAAAGCGAAGGCGAUCUCCUGGAACAUUACUGACGCUAAGGCGUGAAAGCGUGGGGAGCAAACAGGAUUAGAUACCCUUGUAGUC
rnacentral:rRNA from 1 species